rnacentral:rRNA from 1 species
GAUGAACGCUGGCGGCGUGCCUAAUACAUGCAAGUCGAGCGAACGGACGAGAAGCUUGCUUCUCUGAUGUUAGCGGCGGACGGGUGAGUAACACGUGGAUAACCUACCUAUAAGACUGGGAUAACUUCGGGAAACCGGAGCUAAUACCGGAUAAUAUUUUGAACCGAAUGGUUCAAAAGUAAAAGACGGUCUUGCUGUCACUUAUAGAUGGAUCCGCGCUGCAUUAGCUAGUUGGUAAGGUAACGGCUUACCAAGGCAACGAUGCAUAGCCGACCUGAGAGGGUGAUCGGCCACACUGGAACUGAGACACGGUCCAGACUCCUACGGGAGGCAGCAGUAGGGAAUCUUCCGCAAUGGGCGAAAGCCUGACGGAGCAACGCCGCGUGAGUGAUGAAGGUCUUCGGAUCGUAAAACUCUGUUAUUAGGGAAGAACAUAUGUGUAAGUAACUGUGCACAUCUUGACGGUACCUAAUCAGAAAGCCACGGCUAACUACGUG